rnacentral:rRNA from 1 species
GACGUAGGGCGCGAGCGUUGUCCGGAUUUAUUGGGCGUAAAGAGCUCGUAGGCGGCUUGUCGCGUCGACUGUGAAAACCCGCGGCUCAACUGUGGGCGUGCGGGCGAUACGGGCAGACUAGAGUACUGCAGGGGAGACUGGAAUUCCUGGUGUAGCGGUGGAAUGCGCAGAUAUCAGGAGGAACACCAGUGGCGAAGGCGACACACUGGCCCGUAACUGACGCUGAGGCGCGAAAGCGUGGGGAGCAAACAGG